CCGCGGGAACACCGGCGGCCCGAGUGGUGAUCGUGAUUAUUGGGUCUAAAGGGUCCGUAGCCGGUUUGGUCAGUCCUCCGGGAAAUCUGAUAGCUCAACUAUUAGGCUUUCGGGGGAUACUGCCAGACUUGGAACCGGGAGAGGUAAGAGGUACUACAGGGGUAGGAGUGAAAUCUUGUAAUCCCUGUGGGACCACCUGUGGCGAAGGCGUCUUACCAGAACGGGUUCGACGGUGAGGGACGAAAGCUGGGGGCACGAACCGGAUUAGAUACCCGGGUAGUCCCAGCCGUAAACGAUGCUCGCUAGGUGUCAGGCAUGGCGCGACCGUGUCUGGUGCCGCAGGGAAGCCGUGAAGCGAGCCACCUGGGAAGUACGGCCGCAAGGCUGAAACUUAAAGGAAUUGGCGGGGGAGCACAACAAACCGGGUGGAGCCUGCGGUUUAAUUGGACUCAACGCCGGACAACUCACCGGGGGCGACAGCAAUAUGUAGGCCAAGCUGAAGACUUUGCCUGAAUCGCUGAGGGGAGGUGCAUGG
rnacentral:rRNA from 1 species